rnacentral:rRNA from 1 species
UACGAAGGUGGCAAGCGUUGUUCGGAUUUACUGGGCGUACAGGGAGCGUAGGCGGUUGGGUAAGCCCUCCGUGAAAUCUCCGGGCCUAACCCGGAAAGUGCGGAGGGGACUGCUCGGCUAGAGGAUGGGAGAGGAGCGCGGAAUUCCCGGUGUAGCGGUGAAAUGCGUAGAGAUCGGGAGGAAGGCCGGUGGCGAAGGCGGCGCUAUGGAACAUUUCUGACGCUGAGGCUCGAAAGCGUGGGGAGCAAACAGG